GACGAACGCUGGCGGCGUGCCUAAUACAUGCAAGUAGGACGCAGUUGCGAACGGGAGAGUAACGCGUAGGUAACUACCUAGUAGAGGGGGAUAAAUAUUGGAAACGAUAGCUAAUACCGCAUACUAGUAGAUGGACCUGCGUUGUAUUAGCUAGUAGGUAGGGUAAUGGCCUACCUAGGCAACGAUACAUAGCCGACCUGGGAGGGUGAACCGCCAAACUGGGACUGGGACACGGCCCAGACUCCUACGGGGAGCAGCAGUAGGGAAUCUUCGGCAAUGGGGGGAACCCUGGCCGAGCAACGCCGCGUGAGUGAAGAAGGUUUUCGGGUCGUAAAGCUCUGUUGUUAAGGAAGCGGUACUUAACCAGAAAGGGACGGCUAACUACGUGCCAGCAGCCGCGGUAAUUC
rnacentral:rRNA from 1 species